rnacentral:rRNA from 1 species
CCUACGGGGGGCAGCAGUGAGGAAUAUUGGUCAAUGGCCGCAGGGCUGAACCAGCCAAGUCGCGUGAGGGAUGACGGUCCUAUGGAUUGUAAACCUCUUUUGUCAGGGAGCAAAGGGCGCCACGUGUGGCGUUUUGCGAGUACCUGAAGAAAAAGCAUCGGCUAACUCCGUGCCAGCAGCCGCGGUAAUACGGAGGAUGCGAGCGUUAUCCGGAUUUAUUGGGUUUAAAGGGUGCGCAGGCGGAAUGUCAAGUCAGCGGUAAAAUUUCGGGGCUCAACCCCGUCGUGCCGUUGAAACUGGCGUUC